GACAGAGGGUGCAAACGUUGUUCGGAAUUACUGGGCGUAAAGGGCUCGUAGGCGGCCAACUAAGUCGGACGUGAAAUCCCCAGGCUCAACCUGGGAACUGCGUCCGAUACUGGAUGGCUUGAAUCCGGGAGAGGGAUGCAGAAUUCCAGGUGUAGCGGUGAAAUGCGUAGAUAUCUGGAGGAAAUACCGGUGGCGAAAGGCGGCAUCCUGGGACCCGGCAUUUGACGCUGAGGAGCGAAAGCCCAGGGAGCAAACGGG
rnacentral:rRNA from 1 species